rnacentral:tRNA from 1 species
GGCUCGUUGGUCUAGGGGUAUGAUUCUUGCUUUGGGUGUGAGCGGUCCUUGGUUCACUCCCCAGACCGAGCCC